rnacentral:rRNA from 1 species
GAGUUUGAUCUUGGCUCAGAUUGAACGCUGGCGGAAUGCUUUACACAUGCAAGUCGAGCGGCAGCGCGGGGCAACCUGGCGGCGAGCGGCGAACGGGUGAGUAAUGCAUCGGAACAUGUCCAUGUCGUGGGGGAUAGCCCGGCGAAAGCCGGAUUAAUACCGCAUACGCCCGAGAGGGGAAAGUGGGGGACCGCAAGGCCUCACGCGAUUGGGUUGGCCGAUGUCCGAUUAGCUAGUUGGUGGGGUAAAGGCCUACCAAGGCGAUGAUCGGUAGCUGGUCUGAGAGGAUGAUCAGCCACACUGGGACUGAGACACGGCCCAGACUCCUACGGGAGGCAGCAGUGGGGAAUUUUGGACAAUGGGGGCAACCCUGAUCCAGCCAUUCCGCGUGAGUGAAGAAGGCCUUCGGUUGUAAGCUC